GAGCUCUUCUUCCUUCUUCAUUCUUUCUUCCUUCUGCCGACUGACCUCGGAGCGUGAAAAUGGGGACGUGGGGGAAGGGGAGGAGGCGAUUUUGCUCACCGGAGGCUGCCCUCCGGUGAGCUUUCCCUUCGUUUUCUGGUAUCCCCCGUCCUCCCUCCUCCGUGCCGACGGCGCGGCGAGCGGGCGCGCUGGCCCGGCCCUCAAAGCGCCCACCGGGAGAACCUAGAGACAGCGUCGGGGAUCGUCUCCGGGCUUGUCCUCUGUCGCGCCUCAACUCCUCCCGCCCCGCAAGGUCUCCGCCGAGUCGCGGCCGCCGGGUGUGCAUUUGCUCUGACCCACAGGCUCUCGCGGGGACUAUAUCGACCCGGAGGCGGAGCGGAGAAAGCUUGGCGGCGGCGGCCGCGGAGCACCUCAGCUUCCCACUGCCUUCCGCCUGAUUCUCUUCUGUAUGGUGCAAUAUCGGACUCAAGGAUCACUAGAGAAGAACAAAGCUUUGGUUGAGUACCUGAAGCAGUAUGGUGCUGUCACAAUAGAUAAAGUGACUGAAGUACUGGAAAGUAUGGACAGAGCGUUAUUUGUAUCAGAGGGACUUAAACCGUAUACUCAGAGUCCUAUUACCAGCUGAAAACCCACUUUGUGCUUCUCCUGAACUCAACUAAGCUUGCUAAGGCUACUUAUAUUUAGAGUUAUGUAAUGCUUUUCUCAACUACUCCCUUCUUUUCACAAAGGUUGGCGUAUUUUGUUCCGUUAAGACAAGCCUUUGACCAAGAAAUACUCUAUCAAUAUGUAAGUUAUAUGAUACGAAACCAUGAUCAUUAGAAAGAACUUUUAAAGACGAAUCCAUCGAUAUAAAUUUCAUAUAUGAAAAAACACAUAUCAAUGGAGUUUUCAUCGGUCAAAGCCUUGUCCUAACGAAACAAAAUACGCCAACCUUUGUGAAAUGGAGGGAGUAUAUUCUUAUUCUACAUCAUCACUAGAUAAGGAUGUGUACUUAUCAAAAGAUGCCCUUGUACAUGUUUGGAUUGAGAUAGAUUCAAAUUGCACUCUGUGUAAGUUCUAAAUGCACUGAUAAUUGAACUGUUGCAUUUUCAGUCUUCUGUAUGAUUUCAAACUGCAAUCGCAGAUAUUAGGCAUCUAGCUACAUUUUGAUUUUUGCAUUCUAACUUAUGCAAUCUAUCUCGAUUGUAAUUUUCAUCAAAUAUAAUUGCACUGCCUUUUCUCUAAUCCAAUAUUUGUUUUGAUCUUUCUCUAUUUGCUAUUUUCUGCAAUCUAAGCGCUUGAUAUUUACUAGUUACUAUGUAAUCUGUUCUAAAUGGAGUGCUUUUGGGGGACCCUUUUUUAGCACCGUUGGAAUUCUAGCCUUCUUGGCAUUUUUGUUCAAUGCUCUGUCUAUAUCCUCUACCAAAAAAUUUGAAAUUUGGUUUUGUACCCAUUUCUUACGGUUGCAGUUCUAGCCUUGACCUUUUUUGCAUGUUUAUAGUUUUUCUGCAAUUACAUCCUUUGAUUCUGAAGCUAAAUAACCUGUAACUAAGCCAAUGUAUGUUGAACUGCAGGAAUCAAACCAUAUAUUGAAGGUUACAGGUUGAGGUUUGGGUGUUAGGGGACAUGCUACCUCAUCUACAAGCUUCAAAUGGCAACCAAUUCUGAUUUGCUAUGUAUUUGCUAGGAUCGCCACCAUGCUGCUCAUAAUGUCAUUUCUUUUGCGAUGUAGGGGGAAUGAGAUCAAGUUGAGUAGGAGAAAACAGAAUACCUUGGCGUCUCCAUGUUGAGAUUGAUCUACUUCUGAUGCAUGGACAACUUAGUGAGGGAAGGCAGAGUUUCCCUUGAUCGGGCAAUGAACAAGUAUUUAUUUUUAUCUCUUUGCGCAAUUGGGGUUCAUUCUUAUGAACUGCAAUUGCAUUUGUGUCUCUGCGUUUGCACACUAGCAAUUCUCAUUGUCCAUUUUGAUUUUCUGUCUAGCCACAUGUGCAAAUGCUGAACCAGUCUCAAACUUUGCAUGUCGAUUACUGUAAUUGGGUUUUCUAUGAAUUGCAAUUGCAUUUCUGUGUCUCUCUGUUUGCACA